CUUCCCUUUUGCCCGAUACCUGAGGUCUUCAAAUUCAUAGGUCCCAAAAUUUCCCUUCUUCUCCAAUCUUUAAUACCUAGGAUUUGUCCACCACCAAUUGAUUUUCCUUUUCUUACUUAUCUCGUUAGCAUUUGCAUCGGCCACCUCUCUAUUCUCUUCACCACGUCGACAUCAAUUGGCUCAACCCAUGGUUGGAGCCAACUGCUUUGAGCUGUGACUCGUUAGAAUAUUGAGGUUCUGAUUUCUGCUUAAUAAAUUGAAUACCUACAAUCCUACUUACAAAAUUUUAGGUUUUGAACAGUGUUAUCAUGUGAAUUUUAUAGAAUAGUCACACAUAUGCAUGCUACAACGUAGAGAGUUACUUUCUGCAAUAAAGAUGGUCUUGAAAUGACCAGAUAUGACCAGAUUGGCACGGAAUGAAUUCUACCAGCUAGACAAUGGUUAUGGAGAUUCAUCCGAAAAUUGGGUUCAUGAUGAAAUGUAGCAACAGUACAUCAGCCGCUGUGGAAAUUGGGCUGAUCUAACAUCUAAUCGAGUUCCUCAAAGACAUUCAGGAUCAGACAUUCCAACCAAGAAUCAUGGUACUUUUAGUCCUAAAUCCCGUAUUCCCAGGACCAAGGAUUUCAUAGGUAUGAAAAUGUUGAAAGCAGGGACGAGCAUGUAUUUCAGAAACAAGAAAAGUAAUUUAUCUGGAUAUGAUUUCAACACAAGGGAUACAAGAGACCUCCAUUUGCAGUAACUCAUUGUCAACUCCUAUUCGUAUAGAGAAAUCUCUAACCAAAAGAUAGAACAAGAUGGCAGUAGCGGGAGGAUGACAACCACCACACAGUAUGUCUCCUGCCGAGAUAUUUGAUAAUCCAUUCCAAACCCUGUUCAUCUCUACCAGCUAGCGGGAGAAAACUGGAAAUCCUUUGCAGUGUCCAUGCCUGUAUUCCUAACUAUAUAGAAGUCAAGUGUUAAUGAACUGAAGUUUUCAUUUUAGCAAAAAAGCCUAGAGUCAUGGACAUUAUCACACAAAGAAACUAAGCGCUAAUAAAAGUUGCAGGUUGAGUGCGGCCA